ACGGAGGUUGCAAGCGUUAUCCGGAUUUAUUGGGUUUAAAGGGUGCGUAGGCGGAAUUGUAAGUCAGUGGUGAAAACCUGCAGCUUAACUGUAGAACUGCCAUUGAUACUGCCAUUCUUGAGUAUAGUUGAGGUGGGCGGAAUGUGUAAUGUAGCGGUGAAAUGCUUAGAUAUUACACAGAACACCAAUUGCGUAGGCAGCUCACUAAACUAUAACUGACGCUGAGGCACGAAAGCGUGGGGAGCAAACAGGAUUAGAUACCCUGGUAGUCCACGCCGUAAACGAUGAUCACUCGAUGUGUGCGAUAUACUGUACGCGUCUAAGUAAAAGCAUUAAGUGAUCCACCUGGGGAGUACGUCGGCAACGAUG
rnacentral:rRNA from 1 species